rnacentral:lncRNA from 1 species
AUGAGAGACUGGAUGGCUGUUACAAACCCAGGUCUGUCUUCACAAAGCAAAACUAUCUCUAAGUAUAGCUCAGAAGCAAAGAUAUCACCACCAAGUUUAUACUUAUAGCAAGUGUCAUGUUCCUCAAUAGUUUUAUUUAAAAAUGUGCACAUUUUUUGUUGGUGCCUUCUGCAUAAAUGAUAAUAUUUAACAGAGUAUUUAUGUCUUGAUCCAGAAUUGACUACUUUUGGCUUUCCUCAGUUAUGUGAAGGAUCCAAAGGUAAAGAGAUAGAAAUAAUUAAAUAUGGCAGCUCUUUUAAAUUAUAUGAAUGAGCUACUACUACUUCAGUAGAAGGAUCUUGUAGCUCAGGAAACACAGAACCUGGAACUGGGAGGUGACAUGGACCAUCUACAGAACUGCUAAAUGAAACUUAAGAAACUGGAAACCUCCAAGAGGGAAAUGAUUGAGCUUCAGGAAAGAGACAGUUACAAUGCAAGAACAGGAAUUUGAAUCAGCUAUUGAAAAAUGAGAAGGAUAAGGUACAGAAAUUACGAAAUAUUAUUGUAAGUUGAGCUAUUCAGUAUUAUCAUGAUAUGAUAUGAAAAGAGUGUGAAUAUAACAAACUGAAGGAAAGUCUACAUCAACCUUUUAUGAACCAAAAAGAAUUAAAAAUAGCUUUAGACAUUUUAAAUAAUGUGGGGAGAGCUGAUGGAAAAAGAGGCCUCUGGAAAACUGGUAAGACAGAAGUCAGGAAUUUGAUGAAAUGUAUAAAAUUAUCUUGAAUGAUUAUGAGUAUUGUCACAAACAAUUCCUAAUGGAAAAUGCUGAUAAUGAAGAAGUUUCUUCACCAAAUGGAAAAGGAUAUGUUUUUUCUUCUUUCUCCUCAAAAGAAACCUAGAGAAAGAGAAGAUGGUAGUACAGGAACUGUUAUCUCAGAUGUUGAAGAAGAUGCUGGGGAAAUGAGCAGAGACAGUAUCUGGGAACUUUCCUGUGAAACUGUGAGAGAACAGCCUACAAACAGCAUCAGAAAACAGUGGGGAAUUUUGAAAAGUCAUGGAGAAAAACUUGGUAGCCACGUUUCAAAGGUACACUUAGAAAAUUUAAUGAUGAAGAUUUAAUCUCAAAACAAGACCAUGAACAAGAAGCUGAAAAACUCAAAUUAGAAAUUCAGAAAUGUAAAGAAAUGAUUAAAACUCAGCAGCAACUUUUACAGCAACACCUCACUACUGCUUGUGAUGAUGAUACCACUGCACUAUUAUAAGACUGUUAUUUGGAAGAAAAAGGAUGCCACAAAAAAUGGCCCCUUUUUAAAGAGCAAGGAGCAAAAAAAUAAUUUUCAGAGAGAAAGACGAAGCUUUACAGAAGCAGCUAUUCACCUAGGUUUGGAGAGAAACAUGUUUGCAAAAAAAAAAAAAAAAAAAAAAAAAGAAAAGAAAAAAAAGAGCCAGUUGAUUAAAGCAACAGCUUUUAGAUAUGACUACCAUUGACCACCAGAACUCAAAAAAUGUUAAACUUUUCAGUGUCUUCUGAGGAAGUUCUGAUCAGGACAAUCUUACGGCGCACUCCAGGCAAUGGAAAGGAAACCUCAGAGUGUGCAUAAUGGUCUCCAGUUUGCAUGUCUAAACUUACUGAAUGUCUUCUUGCUUCACCUUCUACUGAAGAUUUCUUUUCAGAUGCAUUCCUGUGUAUCUGAACAUACUUCAAUAAACGUACUGAAUAUAACUCCUGAAUAAAUUGAACCAAAUCAUGUUGAAAGAGAAUCUACAAACGAGAAAUGAAGCAUGACAGCAAGACCUGCAUCAUAGGAAGAUUACCAUAUUACAUGCUCCCUGACCCACACAAUUUCUCAUGGAGAAAAAGAUGACUUACCUUA